rnacentral:rRNA from 1 species
CCAUAGAUCUAGAGCGCUGGAAUGCCUUUAGGUCGAAAACUCCGGUGCCUUAGGAUUGGUCUGCGGUCUAUCAGGCAGUAGUGGGUGUAACGGACCCACUAGCCCGUGACGGAUAUGGGCCUUGAGAGAGGGUGCCCAGAGAUGGACUCUGAGACAUGAGUCCAGGCCCUACGGGGCGCAGCAGUCGCGAAAACUUCGCAAUGGGGGAAACCCCGACGAGGGAAUUCCAAGUGCUAGCACUUUGUGUUAGCUGUUCUUCUGUCUAAAAAACAGGAGAAGUAAGGGGCGGGUAAGACGGGUGCCAGCCGCCGCGGUAAUACCCGCGCCCCGAGUGGUGGUCGAUAUUAUUGAGCCUAAAACGUUCGUAGCCGGUCUUCUAAAUCCUUGGGUAAAUCGGGCAGCUUAACUGUCCGAAUUCCGGGGAGACUGGGAGACUUGGGACCGGGAGAGGUCAGAGGUACUUCUGGGGUAGGGGUAAAAUCCUGUAAUCCUGGAAGGACCACCGGUGGCGAAGGCGUCUGACUAGAACGGAUCCGACGGUGAGAAACGAAGCCCUGGGGCGCAAACGGGAUUAGAUACCCCGGUAGUCCAGGGUGUAAACGCUGCGGGCUUGGUGUUGGGGGUCCUUAGGGGGCGCCCAGUGCCGGAGAGAAGUUGUUAAGCCUGCUGCUUGGGGAGUAUGUCCGCAAGGAUGAAACUUAAAGGAAUUG